rnacentral:rRNA from 1 species
UGCGUAGGCGGAAUAUUAAGUCAGUGGUGAAAUCCUGCGGCUCAACCGUAGAACUGCCAUUGAUACUGAUAUUCUUGAAUGUAGUCGAGGUAGGCGGAAUGUGUAAUGUAGCGGUGAAAUGCUUAGAUAUUACACAGAACACCGAUUGCGAAGGCAGCUUACUAAGCUAUGAUUGACGCUGAGGUACGAAAGCGUGGGGAGCGAACAGGAUUAGAUACCCUGGUAGUCC